GAGGCGGCCUCGGGCGGGCCCCGCGCUCGCUCCUGUGGUGAGGGGCUGCUGGCCUGCCCUCCGGAGACAGCCUGGCUCCUCUCCUCACGGGCUGGGCCCCCCAUCGGGAGCAAAGCGCCUGAAGCCACAGUGUGCUGUGUGUAUAGCGAUCAUUCCUGUGGACCUCUUUGUGGAAACAGUUCUUCCAUCAACCCCCUGCAGCAGCUGAGUUUGUCUUAAGUUUCAGGACCUUUCGGACUCAUGGUUCUGAGCAACUCUCCGUUGUUUCAAAUUUUGGGGUUCUGGAUGAGCCAGAAGAGUGCUUCCAGCCUGAAGCUAAACUCAGUAAAAUUCAGCUGUGGUGACCUACUAUUAACAAGUAAGUCUGUUUUCCCCCCCCAUUAAAACUACAUUCUUUAACACUAGUUUUAAGUAGGCUGAACAGAGUUUGCCGAUUUUAUUGGGAAGUGUAAUGGCUUAUGUAGAGUCAUCAGGUGCCAAUGACAACCUAUAUGCUGUGGCAGUUUAGAUGAA